UGGGGGAUAUUGCACAAUGGGCGAAAGCCUGAUGCAGCGACGCCGCGUGGGGGAUGAAGGCCUUCGGGUUGUAAACUUUUUUUGCUCUGAACAAGGCGCACCAUGGGGUGUGUUGAGUGUAGGGGUUGAUUAGCGCCGGCUAACUACGUGCCAGCAGCCGCGGUAAUACGUAGGGCGCGAGCGUUGUCCGGAAUUAUUGGGCGGAAAGGGCUUGUAGGUGGCUGGUUGCGUCUGCCGUGAAAUCUCAUGGCUUAACUGUGGGUUUGCGGUGGGUACUGGCUGGCUUGAGUGCAGUAGGGGAGGCUGGAAUUCCUGGUGUAGCGGUGGAAUGCGCAGAUAUCAGGAGGACUACCGGUGGCGAAGGCGGGUCUCUGGGCUGUUACUGACACUGAGGAGCGAAAGCAUGGGGAGCGAACAGG
rnacentral:rRNA from 1 species